UUGGCUAAGGUGUCUUGGCUAAUGUGUCUUGGCUAAGGUGUCUUGGCUAAGGUGUCUUUGCUAAGGUGUCUUGGCUAAGGUGUCUUGGCUAAGGUGUCUUGGCUAAUGUGUCUUGGCUAAUGUGUCUUUGCUAAGGUGUCUUGGCUAAGGUGUCUUGGCUAAGGUGUCUUGGCUAAUGUGUCUUGGCUAAUGUGUCUUGGCUAAGGUGUCUUGGCUAAGGUGUCUUGGCUAAUGUGUCUUGGCUAAGGUGUCUUGGCUAAGGUGUCUCGGCUAAGGUGUCUUGGCUAAUGUGUCUUGGCUAAGUUGUCUUGGCUAAGGUGUCUUGGCUAAGGUGUCUUGGCUAAUGUGUCUUGGCUAAAGUGUCUUGGCUAAUGUGUCUCGGCUAAGGUGUCUUGGCUAAUGUGUCUUGGCUAAAGUGUCUUGGCUAAAGUGUCUUGGCUAAAGUGUUUUGGCUAAGGUGUCUUGGCUAAGGUGUCUUGGCUAAGGUGUCUUGGCUAAGGUGUCUUGGCUAAGGUGUCUUGGCUAAUGUGUCUUGGCUUAUGUGUUUUGGCUAAUGUGUCUUGGCUAAAGUGUCUUGGCUAAUGUGUCUUGGCUAAGGUGUCUUGGCUAAGGUGUCUUGGCUAAUGUGUCUUGGCUUAUGUGUUUUGGCUAAUGUGUCUUGGCUAAAGUGUCUUGGCUAAUGUGUCUUGGCUUAUGUGUUUUGGCUAAUGUGUCUUGGCUAAGGUGUCUUGGCUAAUGUGUCUUGGCUAAGGUGUCUUGGCUAAGGUGUCUUGGCUAAAGUGUUUUGGCUAAGGUGUCUUGGCUAAGGUGUCUUGGCUAAGGUGUCUUGGCUAAGGUGUCUUGGCUAAGGUGUCUUGGCUAAGGUGUCUUGGCUAAGGUGUCUUGGCUAAGGUGUCUUGGCUAAGGUGUCUUGGCUAAGGUGUCUAGGCUAAUGUGUCUUGGCUAAGGUGUCUUGGCUAAGGUGUCUUGGCUAAGGUGUCUUGGCUAAAGUGUCUUGGCUAAGGUGUCUUGGCUAAGGUGUCUUGGCUAAUGUGUCUUGGCUAAGGUGUCUUGGCUAAGGUGUCUUGGCUAAGGUGUCUUGGCUAAUGUGUCUUGGCUUAUGUGUUUUGGCUAAUGUGUCUCGGCUAAGGUGUCUUGGCUAAUGUGUCUUGGCUAAGGUGUCUUGACUAAGGUGUCUUGGCUAAGGUGUCUUGGCUAAUGUGUCUUGGCUAAUGUGUCUUGGCUAAGGUGUCUUGGCUAAGGUGUCUCGGCUAAGGUGUCUUGGCUAAUGUGUCUUGGCUAAGGUGUCUUGGCUAAUGUGUCUUGGCUAAUGUGUCUUGGCUAAGGUGUCUUGGCUAAGGUGUCUUGGCUAAGGUGUCUUGGCUAAUGUGUCUUGGCUAAUGUGUCUCGGCUAAGGUGUCUUGGCUAAUGUGUCUUGGCUAAUGUGUCUUGGCUAAGGUGUCUUGGCUAAUGUGUCUUGGCUAAGGUGUCUUGGCUAAGGUGUCUUGGCUAAGGUGUCUUGGCUAAUGUGUCUUGGCUAAUGUGUCUUGGCUAAGGUGUCUUGGCUAAGGUGUCUUGGCUAAGGUGUCUUGGCUAAUGUGUCUUGGCUUAUGUGUUUUGGCU